GUUUGAUCCUGGCUCAGGACGAACGCUGGCGGCGUGCCUAAUACAUGCAAGUCGAGCGUAUUUAUCCUUCGGGAUAAGUUAGCGGCGGACGGGUGAGUAACACGUAGGCAACCUGCCUAUAAGACUGGGAUAACUAUCGGAAACGAUAGCUAAGACCGGAUAACUGAUUUUCUCGCAUGAGAAAAUUAUGAAACACGGAGCAAUCUGUGGCUUAUAGAUGGGCCUGCGGCGCAUUAGCUAGUUGGUAGGGUAACGGCCUACCAAGGCGACGAUGCGUAGCCGACCUGAGAGGGUGAACGGCCACACUGGGACUGAGACACGGCCCAGACUCCUACGGGAGGCAGCAGUAGGGAAUCUUCCGCAAUGGACGCAAGUCUGACGGAGCAACGCCGCGUGAGUGAUGAAGGUUUUCGGAUCGUAAAGCUCUGUUGCCCUAGACGAACAGCAAGAGGGGUAACUGCCUUUUGUGUGACGGUAUAGGAGAAGGAAGCCCCGGCUAACUACGUGCCAGCAGCCGCGGUAAUACGUAGGGGGCAAGCGUUGUCCGGAAUUAUUGGGCGUAAAGCGCGCGCAGGCGGUCAAUUAAGUUGGGUGUUUAAGCCCGGGGCUCAACCCCGGUUCGCAUCCAAAACUGGUCGACUUGAGUGUAGGAGAGGAAAGUGGAAUUCCACGUGUAGCGGUGAAAUGCGUAGAGAUGUGGAGGAACACCAGUGGCGAAGGCGACUUUCUGGCCUAUAACUGACGCUGAGGCGCGAAAGCGUGGGGAGCAAACAGGAUUAGAUACCCUGGUAGUCCACGCCGUAAA
rnacentral:rRNA from 1 species